rnacentral:lncRNA from 1 species
CAAGACUACUUGGGCUCCAAGCCCCUCAGGCAGAUAUCAGUGAUGACACAAUGCUCCCAUUCUGCUGUCAGUGUGUCCGUGACCAAGGGUGCAUAAAGGAGCCUUUUCCCAUCUCAACAGCCACCUUCUCACAUUUUUUGUUGGUUCUUUUUGAUCCCACAUUUGUAGAUCAGAUGGCUAGCAGGGGCACCCUUGCCCAAGUUUAUAUGUCCAGUAAUGACAAAGUUGGUAUCUUUGCUCUUCCCACUUUGGCUUUAGCAGUUUUCACAGCACCUGUAUUCUGGAAGCAACCCUUCUGUAAAAGAUGUCAUUCUCUUUCUGGCUUGAAAUACUACCCUUGACUUCUUGUUGGUUAUUGCCAGGGAUUGCUGUUAUCUCUGGGAGGUCACCCUCAGAUCCUAGCCAUGUGCUGUAGCUUGUAUCUAGAUGUUCCCCAAAGCCUCACUGGUCAUAUGUGGGGAGUUUUGAAGGUGGCUGGAUUAGGGUGUGUGAUGCCUGAUACCAGGAUUGAGGAUUCAAUAGUGGGAUUAAGGGUGCCUCACCCUAGGUGUGAGUGCUACCUACCCAAGAGGAGGUAGCCUGGAUGGAAUAUGAGGGGCAGAAAGGCCGGCUACUGCUUCUGCUUUUGUUGCUUGCUGCUUGCAGCCUUCUGCCUGUCCUGCUACACCAUGGACUGUUUCUCCUCUGCGAUGCCCCUCUGCCAUGCCACCCUGCCUUGGAGCCGACUAUGAACUGAAACCCCUACAAACCAUGAGCCAAAUAAACCUUUCCUCCUUUAACUGGGUGUCCCAUUGUUUGCCUUGGCAACAAGAAAAGUAACCAAGACACCAUGUGACCCUCUUACAACAUGGAAGUUACUUCUUCAAAGCAAGCAGGAAUUUCUUCAGCAUGCUAAAGAGUUGUAUCAUAUAAUCACAAGAAAAUAAAUACACUAGGGACUUCUGGGAAGAUGGCCAAGCAGUAAGCAGCAACAAAUCAACCUCACCGAGAUUCACAAUCCAAACUUGGGGAAGAAAAGAAGGAGGGUGGUAGAUCCCUGGGACUCAGGAAGGACCUGAAGGGAAAACGGCACACACAGAGAAACUGAAGAGACAGACUGCAACACAGAAAAAGAGGGCAACCGGCACUUCCUCCACAGCUCCUGGCUGUGGCAAGAGAAAGGAAGAUCGAAUCUACAGAGACACAAUAAAAGCAAGACUCCAGAGGACUUCAAGGAGAAAUGCUCCAGUGGAACAGAGCAGUGGAUGCCAUGUGCUACAAUAGCUGGUGAGUGACUCCAGUCCAAGUGACUGCUGUAUCCCCUGGAAAGAAUGCUUCUUGGAUGCCAUUUUAGGGAGGGGCCAACUGAACCUGGGACUCAGAAGCCAUGGGUUGGCUUCAUCUCAGGGCUCCCAGUGUUAAACUCCCACAGUGACUGGGUGAGGGACAACCACAGGAAAUGUCCAGGAUCAGGGAAUCAUGCUCAGCCCAGGAAGAGACACCCAAAGUGUUACAAGCUAAAUGCCUAUGACCCCAAUCCCAUGACCAGAGGCAAAGAUCAGCCUGAACCUCUGUGGAUUUGAAAGUACUAGAACUGGCACCCCACUGUAAUCCUACUGCAGCCUUGGUGGGAUUAUCUGGUGUGGAUCUGGGUUCUGGCUGCAUCCUUUGUCUAUCAGUGAAUGCAGAGUGACACCCUGAAUUGGACAGUCACAAAACUAUAGACCCCAGAAGAUAAUCACAAGCUUGAAAUCACAGAGAAAAUUUCUUCUGAUUUUUUUCUUCUUUUUUAUUUUAUGUUUUCAUUUCUGUUCAUUUGGGUUUUUUGUGUGUGUGUGAACAUUCUUUUUAGUUUUUUCAUUGGUUGGGCCCUUGUAAUUGUUUUUUUCCUUCUUUCCCUUCUGUUUCCAAAGCUUGAGUAAUCUUCCUGUGUCCUUCAACCUUGCUUCUAUUCUCUUUCUCUUCUUUUACUUCCCUUUUAAAUUUUUAUCCCUUGGGGUAAAAGUGCUCUACCUACUGGAUAUUUUCUUUACAUGUAAUUUCUGAUUUGUCUUAGAUAUUGUUAUAUAACUAUAAAUCUUGUACCAAUGGUUAAAGGUGGCAAAUUAUUAGUUAUCAUAGUUUGUCAUUUUCCAGUCUG